AGAGUUUGAUCAUGGCUCAGAUUGAACGCUGGCGGCAUGCUUUACACAUGCAAGUCGAACGGUAACAGGCCGCAAGGUGCUGACGAGUGGCGAACGGGUGAGUAAUGCAUCGGAACGUGCCCAGUCGUGGGGGAUAACGCAGCGAAAGCUGCGCUAAUACCGCAUACGAUCUGUGGAUGAAAGCGGGGGACCGUAAGGCCUCGCGCGAUUGGAGCGGCCGAUGUCAGAUUAGGUAGUUGGUGGGGUAAAGGCUCACCAAGCCGACGAUCUGUAGCUGGUCUGAGAGGACGACCAGCCACACUGGGACUGAGACACGGCCCAGACUCCUACGGGAGGCAGCAGUGGGGAAUUUUGGACAAUGGGCGCAAGCCUGAUCCAGCAAUGCCGCGUGCAGGAAGAAGGCCUUCGGGUUGUAAACUGCUUUUGUACGGAACGAAAAGGCUCUGGAUAAUACCUGGGGCUCAUGACGGUACCGUAAGAAUAAGCACCGGCUAACUACGUGCCAGCAGCCGCGGUAAUACGUAGGGUGCGAGCGUUAAUCGGAAUUACUGGGCGUAAAGCGUGCGCAGGCGGUUUUGUAAGACAGGCGUGAAAUCCCCGGGCUUAACCUGGGAAUUGCGCUUGUGACUGCAAGGCUGGAGUGCGGCAGAGGGGGAUGGAAUUCCGCGUGUAGCAGUGAAAUGCGUAGAUAUGCGGAGGAACACCGAUGGCGAAGGCAAUCCCCUGGGCCUGCACUGACGCUCAUGCACGAAAGCGUGGGGAGCAAACAGGAUUAGAUACCCCGGUAGUCC
rnacentral:rRNA from 1 species